rnacentral:rRNA from 1 species
UACGAAGGGGGGCUAGCGUUGCUCGGAAUUACUGGGCGUAAAGGGCUCGUAGGUGGCCAACUAAGUCAGACGUGAAAUCCCUCGGCUUAACCGGGGAACUGCGUCUGAUACUGGAUGGCUAGAGUUUGGGAGAGGGAUGCGGAAUUCCAGGUGUAGCGGUGAAAUGCGUAGAUAUCUGGAGGAACACCGGUGGCGAAGGCGGCAUCCUGGACCAACACUGACGCUGAGGAGCGAAAGCCAGGGGAGCAAACGGG